AAACGGCGGCCGUAACUAUAACGGUCCUAAGGUAGCGAAAUUCCUUGUCGGGUAAGUUCCGACCCGCACGAAAGGCGCAACGAUCUGGGCACUGUCUCAACGAGAGACUCGGUGAAAUUAUAGUACCUGUGAAGAUGCAGGUUACCCGCGACAGGACGGAAAGACCCCGUGGAGCUUUACUGCAACCUGAUAUGGAAUGUUUGUACCGCUUGUACAGGAUAGGUAGGAGCCGAAGAGACGUGUGCGCUAGCAUACGAGGAGGCAAUGGUGGGAUACUACCCUGGCUGUAUGACCAUUCUAACCCGCCACGCUUAGCGCGUGGGGAGACAGUGUCAGGUGGGCAGUUUGACUGGGGCGGUCGCCUCCUAAAGAGUAACGGAGGCGCCCAAAGGUUCCCUCAGAAUGGAUGGAAAUCAUUCGCAGAGUGUAAAGGCACAAGGGAGCUUGACUGCGAGACUGACAAGUCGAGCAGGGACGAAAGUCGGGCUUAGUGAUCCGGUGGUUCCGCAUGGAAGGGCCAUCGCUCAACGGAUAAAAGCUACCCCGGGGAUAACAGGCUUAUCUCCCCCAAGAGUCCACAUCGACGGGGAGGUUUGGCACCUCGAUGUCGGCUCGUCGCAUCCUGGGGCUGUAGUCGGUCCCAAGGGUUGGGCUGUUCGCCCAUUAAAGCGGCACGCGAGCUGGGUUCAGAACGUCGUGAGACAGUUCGGUCCCUAUCCGUCGCGGGCGCAGGAAAUUUGAGAGGAGCUGUCCUUAGUACGAGAGGACCGGGAUGGACACACCGCUGGUGUACCAGUUGUUCCGCCAGGAGCAUCGCUGGGUAGCUAUGUGUGGCAGGGAUAAACGCUGAAAGCAUCUAAGCGUGAAGCCCCCCUCAAGAUGAGAUUUCCCAUUUCUUCGGAAAGUAAGAUCCCUGAAAGAUGAUCAGGUAGAUAGGUUUGGAGUGGAAGUGUAGCGAUACAUGGAGCGGACAAAUACUAAUCGAUCGAGGACUUAACCAAAA
rnacentral:rRNA from 1 species